AGAGUUUGAUCCUGGCUCAGGAUGAACGCUAGCUACAGGCUUAACACAUGCAAGUCGCGGGGCAGCAUGAAGGAUGCUUGCAUUCUUUGAUGGCGACCGGCGCACGGGUGAGUAACGCGUAUCCAACCUGCCUGUUACCACGGCACAGCCCGUCGAAAGGCGGAUUAAUGCCGUAUGUGGUCUUGAGAGGGCAUCUGAUCAUGACUAAAGGUUCAGCGGUAACGGAUGGGGAUGCGUCCGAUUAGCUAGACGGCGGGGUAACGGCCCACCGUGGCGACGAUCGGUAGGGGUUCUGAGAGGAAGGUCCCCCACACUGGAACUGAGACACGGUCCAGACUCCUACGGGAGGCAGCAGUGAGGAAUAUUGGUCAAUGGGCGUAAGCCUGAACCAGCCAAGUAGCGUGAGGGAAGACUGCCCUAUGGGUUGUAAACCUCUUUUGUGCGGGGAUAAAGUGUGGGACGUGUCCCAUAUUGCAGGUACCGCACGAAUAAGGACCGGCUAAUUCCGUGCCAGCAGCCGCGGUAAUACGGAAGGUCCGGGCGUUAUCCGGAUUUAUUGGGUUUAAAGGGAGCGCAGGCCGUCCUUUAAGCGUGCUGUGAAAUGCCGCGGCUCAACCGUGGCACUGCAGCGCGAACUGGAGGACUUGAGUACGCACGAGGUAGGCGGAAUUCGUGGUGUAGCGGUGAAAUGCUUAGAUAUCACGAAGAACUCCGAUUGCGAAGGCAGCUUACCGGAGCGCAACUGACGCUGAGGCUCGAAAGCGCGGGUAUCGAACAGGAUUAGAUACCCUGGUAGUCCGCGCGGUAAACGAUGGAUGCCCGCCGUUGGGUUUUAGAAUUCAGCGGCCAAGCGAAAGCGUUAAGCAUCCCACCUGGGGAGUACGCCGGCAACGGUGAAACUCAAAGGAAUUGACGGGGGCCCG
rnacentral:rRNA from 1 species